rnacentral:lncRNA from 1 species
CAACUGUAAUGCAAUAAUGAUUUGUAACAUUAAAAAUAUUUUCAUCGAAUGUUGGUGCUCUUUCCACUUCUUCUUCGACUACAAAUUUCUCCACUUAACGCAUGUACAGAUGAGUUAUACGUGCUGCACUUGAGAAUUAUCAGUUUACUGAAUAAGAAGAAGAAUAUAAUACUCAAAUUUUCACGAUAUCAGUACUUCAGGCUCACCGUCACGAACCAAAAACUAAUGAAACAGAAUCAGGAAAAUAAAUACGAAACAAUAAAAAUUGAGUAGACUGCAAUACAAAAACAGGGAGAGAGUACAAAAUCAGAGACGACAUAAGUUGGAAUCAAUAAAUGAUCUGAGAAGAGAGAAAAGGAAAGCGACAAACGGAUUCGUCGGCCAAAAAAUAAGACGCAGUUGACUCUAGCUCCUCCCACCCAUUACUAACCAUUCAAAAAGAGAUCCGAUCACAGAGACACUCAGAUACUGCAGAGACAAAUACGUAUACCAUAAAAGGAGGAAGAUAAACAAAAUUAAAGAGGCAUAAAUUAAUCAGACAUAAGACGAGCAAUAUAUGGAAAACUAAACUUUCUGAAUUGAGGAUAGAUUCAAGCAAACAAAUGGUUUACAAACGAUUAUGUUGAAAACGAUUCUGAGAUUCUGGGUGCAAAGAUCGAUGGAUUAAGAAAAGAUGUAUCGAAGAAGAAGGAUUCAGCGCAUUUUUGAAUUGAGUGUUCACACCAAGUUUGGAGGAAACAGAGAGAAGAAAACCCCAGAGAAGAAGAAGAAGCAAAAGAGAGCCUUUGAUGAAUAAAUUACAAAAAAGAUUACAACCCUGUAC